AAACUGCAGCUACCAUAUGCUCCCUCCCCUCUGCGCUGCUCAGGGCAAGGGUGGUAGAUGACUUGGAAAUGAAGGUGUGAAGUUGCACACAAGAAAAGAGAUAUGUUCACCAAUCAAUGCUGCUAUUGAGGUUCUUAUCAGCUGAAUGAAUUUAGUAAAAUACAAGACAUAAAAUUAUUAUGGUACAGCCAAGGGUGCCUAGAAUAAAGAGUGGCACACUCCUCCUAGGAGGAAAGAAAGAAAAAGGAGUAGAGAGGGAAUAUGCACAAGCAAGAAAAUGUCCACUGUGGUAAUUACAAGUGACAAAGAUAAAUGAGUAAGAAUGUGUGAACACGUUCCUCAGUGGGUCCUUAAAUAGGUAGAAAAUGUAAAUAUGCAGCAUGGGAAUCUCUAAAAGUAAGGUGAAAUUACACUGAAAUAAGUCCAGGAAUUUCACUUUGAUUCAGGAAAUUUGUAAGUGAAGUGAUUAAAGAAACGCAAUGUUUUUACUUU